rfam:Eutrema salsugineum unplaced genomic scaffold scaffold_1, whole genome shotgun sequence.
UCACCGUCGGGCUCGGAUUCGCUUGGUGCAGCUCGGGAAGCAAUUGGCUGACACAACCACUUGACCUUUUCCUCGUUGGUUUGUGAGCAGUGAAUGGAUCCCGACUGCAUCAACUGAAUCGGAGUCUCGCUGGUGAAA